AGUUUGCUAGAUGGUGUCCUACUCUUUAGAUAUUUGAAGACAAGAAUCACCCAACAGGAAACUUCUCCAAGGUUGUAUCCAAAGCAACAUCAUUUCUGUUUC